AUGACCACUAGUUCCAUGACCACUAGUUCCAUGACCACUAGUUCCAUGACCACUAGUUCCAUGACCACUAGUUCCAUGACCACUAGUUCCAUGACCAUUAGUUCCAUGACCACUAGUUCCAUGACCAUUAGUUCCAUGACCACUAGUUCCAUGACCACUAGUUCCAUGACCAUUAGUUCCAUGACCAUUAGUUCCAUGACCACUAGUUCCAUGACCACUAGUUCCAUGACCAUUAGUUCCAUGACCACUAGUUCCAUGACCACUAGUUCCAUGACCACUAGUUCCAUGACCACUAGUUCCAUGACCACUAGUUCCAUGACCAUUAGUUCCAUGACCACUAGUUCCAUGACCACUAGUUCCAUGACCACUAGUUCCAUGACCACUAGUUCCAUGACCAUUAGUUCCAUGACCAUUAGUUCCAUGACCACUAGUUCCAUGACCACUAGUUCCAUGACCACUAGUUCCAUGACCAUUAGUUCCAUGACCAUUAGUUCCAUGACCACUAGUUCCAUAACCAUUAGUUCCAUGACCACUAGUUCCAUGACCAUUAGUUCCAUGACCACUAGUUCCAUGACCACUAGUUCCAUGACCACUAGUUCCAUGACCAUUAGUUCCAUGACCACUAGUUCCAUGACCACUAGUUCCAUGACCAUUAGUUCCAUGACCACUAGUUCAAUGACCAUUAGUUCCAUGACCACUAGUUCCAUGACCACUAGUUCCAUGACCACUAGUUCCAUGACCACUAGUUCCAUGACCACUAGUUCCAUGACCACUAGUUCCAUGACCACUAGUUCCAUGACCAUUAGUUCCAUGACCACUAGUUCCAUGACCACUAGUUCCAUGACCACUAGUUCCAUGACCACUAGUUCCAUGACCACUAGUUCCAUGACCAUUAGUUCCAUGACCAUUAGUUCCAUGACCACUAGUUCCAUGACCACUAGUUCCAUGACCACUAGUUCCAUGGCCACUAGUUCCAUGACCAUUAGUUCAAUGACCAUUAGUUCCAUGACCACUAGUUCCAUGACCACUAGUUCCAUGACCAUUAGUUCCAUGACCAUUAGUUCCAUGACCACUAGUUCCAUGACCAUUAGUUCCAUGACCACUAGUUCCAUGACCAUUAGUUCCAUGACCACUAGUUCCAUGACCACUAGUUCCAUGACCAUUAGUUCCAUGACCAUUAGUUCCAUGACCACUAGUUCCAUGACCACUAGUUCCAUGACCAUUAGUUCCAUGACCACUAGUUCCAUGACCACUAGUUCCAUGACCAUUAGUUCCAUGACCACUAGUUCAAUGACCAUUAGUUCCAUGACCACUAGUUCCAUGACCACUAGUUCCAUGACCACUAGUUCCAUGACCAUUAGUUCAAUGACCACUAGUUCCAUGACCACUAGUUCCAUGACCACUAGUUCCAUGACCAUUAGUUCCAUGACCACUAGUUCCAUGACCACUAGUUCCAUGACCAUUAGUUCCAUGACCAUUAGUUCCAUGACCAUUAGUUCCAUGACCACUAGUUCCAUGACCACUAGUUCCAUGACCACUAGUUCCAUGACCACUAGUUCCAUGACCAUUAGUUCCAUGACCACUAGUUCCAUGACCACUAGUUCCAUGGCCACUAGUUCCAUGACCAUUAGUUCAAUGACCAUUAGUUCCAUGACCACUAGUUCCAUGACCAUUAGUUCAAUGACCAUUAGUUCCAUGUAUCUUCUGUUGUAG
ensembl:lncRNA